AGUGAACGCUGGCGGUAGGCCUAACACAUGCAAGUCGAACGGCAGCACAGUAAGAGCUUGCUCUUACGGGUGGCGAGUGGCGGACGGGUGAGGAAUACAUCGGAAUCUACCUUUUCGUGGGGGAUAACGUAGGGAAACUUACGCUAAUACCGCAUACGACCUACGGGUGAAAGCAGGGGAUCUUCGGACCUUGCGCGAUUGAAUGAGCCGAUGUCGGAUUAGCUAGUUGGCGGGGUAAAGGCCCACCAAGGCGACGAUCCGUAGCUGGUCUGAGAGGAUGAUCAGCCACACUGGAACUGAGACACAGUCCAGACUCCUACGGGAGGCAGCAGUGGGGAAUAUUGGACAAUGGGCGCAAGCCUGAUCCAGCCAUACCGCGUGGGUGAAGAAGGCCUUCGGGUUGUAAAGCCCUUUUGUUGGGAAAGAAAAGCAGCAGGUUAAUACCCCGCUGUUCUGACGGUACCCAAAGAAUAAGCACCGGCUAACUUCGUG
rnacentral:rRNA from 1 species